rnacentral:rRNA from 1 species
AUACAUGAGCAAAAUCUCAACUGAUUUAGAAGAGAAGCAUUUAUUAGAUAAAAAACCAAUAUAUGUUUUUAAAGCAUAUAAGUUGGUGAUUUAGAAUAACUAAGCAAAUCGCACAGUGUAAACUGGCGAUAAAUCAUUCAAGUUUCUGACCUAUCAGCUUUCGACGGUAAGGUAUUGGCUUACCGUGGCAGUGACGGUUAACGGGGAAUUAGGGUUCAAUUCCGGAGAGGGAGCCUGAGAAACGGCUACCACAUCUAAGGAAGGCAGCAGGCGCGCAAAUUACCCAAUUCUAAUAGCAUAAGAGAGGUAGUGACAAGAAAUAACAGUACAAGGCAGAUAAAAUGCUUUGUAAUUGGAAUGAUAGAAAUUUAAAUACUUUUUAAAGUAUCAAUUGGAGGGCAAGUCUGGUGCCAGCAGCCGCGGUAAUUCCAGCUCCAAUAGCGUAUAUUAAAAUUGUUGCAGUUAAAAAGCUCGUAGUUGAAUUUUUGCUAAAAAUAACCGGUCUGCUUUUAUUAAUAAAAGUGGUAUCUUGGUGUGUUUUUAGCAAUAAUGUCCUUUGAAAUGUGUUUUACUUUAUUGUAAAUAGCAAUUUUCAGGAUUUUUACUUUGAGAAAAUUAGAGUGUUUCAAGCAGGCUAACGUUUUGAAUACUGCAGCAUGGA